GGGCCAUAGCUCAAUGGUAGAGGUCUUGCUUUGCAUGUAGAAGGUGACAGGUUCAAUCCCUGGCAUCUCUA